CAGUAACAUAGAUGUUAUUAGGCAUGUGCAAUGAUGAUGUCAACAUGGCAGACGUGGUGGAUCGCAAGGUAAAACUUGCAGCUGGGCUAAAAAAAUUGAGACAGUUUCAAAAACGACAGAAAGAAGCUACGACAAAAGAAGAUUUAAACUCUUCUUUAAACGAAUCUCCUCCUCCUGUAAAAGAAAAGUUAGAGGU